AUGUAUGCGAUUUGUACAUUU
ensembl:piRNA 21ur-2768 ncRNA